ACUCUUAAUAUUUUUCUUCACAUCACCUCUCACACAUAUAAACAACAAAAUCAUCAAUUGAAUUUCGAUAGUAUUCCACUCAUACUUUUAGCCAAUGAUAAAAUACACACAUAAACAACAAAAUCAUCAAUUGAAAUCUCAAUGUAUUCCACUCACAUAAAUGGAGUCCACAUGGUUUUGAUGUUCAUUUCUUCUUCUCCAAGAUAAUUCCAAAGGCCGAGGAUAUAUAAAAAAUACCCCAAAAGCAGAAAAAGGGGAGGUCAAGGACGGAGAGGGAAAAAGGCGAGGGUUUAAAAAGUCUUGAUUUCCAAUUUUUCCUUUCUGAUUUUCCAUUCUAGUUCGUUCGUAUUAAAAAAAUCAGUUCUUGCCUUAAAAUUCGAAAAUACAAAAGAAUAUUUCUAUUUUUCUUCUUCCGCUUUAAAUUUUUGAAUUUUCAAUUAUGGAAUUUGAUUGAGCUGAGGGGGUUUUGAGUUCGUCAUCGUCGUCGUCGUCGGUUUCCGUCCGAGUUCCGUUCGUAAUAAUUGGGUGCAUUUUGCUCGUGUAAUUGCUGAAAAUCCCCAUUUAUAUAAACUUCAAUUUUCAGAUCCAGGUGAUCCCGGACACAGUGGAUGUUAAUGUUUUCACACAGUUAAUUUUUCGGAGAUUCAAAGGUAGCUGCUAUGUUUCGCAGAUCUUGUCUCUCCUUCCCUAUCCUUUUGUUUAUUGUAUUUUGUCUCGGAUUAUUACAGACCGAGAUUUCCAGACUUGUAAUUUAUAGAUGCUUAUGUACUCAGUGACAUCAGGUGUUGGGAAUAUGUUUUACCUAGUAA